rnacentral:rRNA from 1 species
AUUGAACGCUGGCGGAAUGCUUUACACAUGCAAGUCGAACGGCAGCACGGACUUCGGUCCGGUGGCGAGUGGCGAACGGGUGAGUAAUGUAUCGGAACGUGCCCAGUCGUGGGGGAUAACGUAGUGAGAAUUACGCUAAUACCGCAUACGAUCUAUGGAUGAAAGCGGGGGAUCGCAAGACCUCGCGCGAUUGGAGCGGCCGAUAUCAGAUUAGGUAGUUGGUGGGGUAAAGGCCCACCAAGCCAACGAUCUGUAGCUGGUCUGAGAGGACGACCAGCCACACUGGAACUGAGACACGGUCCAGACUCCUACGGGAGGCAGCAGUGGGGAAUUUUGGACAAUGGGCGAAAGCCUGAUUCAGCCAUUCCGCGUGCAGGAUGAAGGCCCUCGGGUUGUAAACUGCUUUUGUACAGAACGAAAAGGUUUCUACUAAUACUAGGAGCUCAUGACGGUACUGUAAGAAUAAGCACCGGCUAACUACGUGCCAGCCGCCGCGGUAA